AUCUAUACCAGAUCAAUGUUCGAUAUGGGAGUCGGACAGAUGGCCUUGCUGGAUGCUUCCGAAGAUAUGCUGAAUGUUGCAAGAAAAAAUCUUGCUGCAGAUAUAGGCGCUAAUAAGGUUUCUGCAAUUAUCGAGAAUACUUUACCGGAAAUACCAUUUGGUGAUGGAACAUUUGACGGCGUCCUCUUUAACAUGGUAUACAACAUUUAUCCUUCUUGAGAAAGUGUAUGGCAUCACCGGACUUUACGAUUUAUGUCCCAGGUGUCACAUACACAGGUAUUGCACCAUUUGCCAAGAGGUGUUGGCAGGAAUUUCUUUGGAGCAGUUGAGGCCCUAAAGGAGGCACGCCGGGUUUUACAACCAGAAGGAGUUAUUGCUAUAACAACAGUGCUGGAUUCAUUUUAACGAACGCAUGGUGUCUCAACAUUUCCCCUGAAAUACCAAAUAAACUGUGUACCAUUCUGCCAUCGGCAGAAGAAUGGAACAAUAUGAUUUAUAAAGCUGGCCUUAAAUGCUUGGUAAGGACAAAUUUGCUUGGAUUCGGAAUAUUUAGUCAGGAAGACUAUACUGAUGCUACUAACAUCUUUAAGCAGGAAUGGCGAAAUAGCGCUGUUUUCUAUGAAAUGGCAACAGAAGAAGAAUUUGAACGUGCUAGACAGAAGGUCAAAACACUUCAAACGAGGGGUGAGAUUAAGGAGUGGAUUAAAGAACACGACAAAACGCAAAAGUUCGGAUUUGUAACUCUAUUUCUUUGUCAGUGAAUGAAGUACUAGUAUAAGACAUUAACUAAUGAUAAAAAUGAGUAUAAUUGCAACAUUAUACAAUGCUCUGACCUGCUGUUUGAUUAAAGGGAGUUUUUCAGUUUUGUUAAAAAGAAUCUUUUGUACAAAAAGUAUCCACCGGAGGAGGAAUAUGAAACGAUAAUGAAAUAACAGCAAUUUCGCCAGUUUACUUGUUUAUCCAAACAAGUUAAAAGGAAUCCUGUUGAUGUAUUAUUGUCAAUAAAUGGAAAAGCAAUCAUGA